rnacentral:rRNA from 1 species
GACGAACGCUGGCGGCGUGCCUAAUACAUGCAAGUCGAACGCAGUGGGGACGGGUGAGUAACACGUGGGUAACCUCCCAUCAGAGGGGAUAACACUUGGAAAAUGGUGCUUAACCGAUCCUGAUGGAUGAACCCGCGGGGCAUUAGCUAGUUGGUGAGGUAACGGCUCACCAAGGCCACGAUGCAUAGCUGACCUGAGAGGGUGAUCGGCCACACUGUGACUGAGAAACGGCCCAGACUCCUACGGGAGGCAGCAGUAGGGAAUCUUCUGCAAUGGACGAAAGGCUGACCGAGCAACGCCGCGUGAGUGAAGAAGGUUUUCGGAUCGUAAACCUCUGUUGUUAGAGAAGCGUUAUCUAACCAGAAAGCCACGGCUAACUACGUGCCAGCAGCCGCGGUAAUAC